rnacentral:rRNA from 1 species
GACGGAGGGUGCAAACGUUGUUCGGAAUCACUGGGCAUAAAGAGCACGUAGGCUGCGCGCUAAGUCAGGUGUGAAAUCCCCCGGCUCAACCGGGGAACUGCACCUGAUACUGGCGUGCUCGAGGACGGUAGGGGUGAGUGGAAUUCCAGGUGUAGCGGUGAAAUGCGUAGAUAUCUGGAGGAAUACCGGUGGCGAAGGCGGCCUUCUGGACGGUGACUGACGCUGAGACGCGAAAGCGUGGGGAGCAAACAGG